UCAGGGCAUUGAACACAGACUGAAUGACUCAGUGACGCUUGGAUCAGGUCAGAUCAAAUUCUCAAGCAAACAGAUGGCUGGGGAUAUUCAGUAACAACGGUGAGGAGAGAGAGGAACAAUUCACAUUUCAAGGGACCCUUCCUCAAAACGGCCUGUUCUGAAGGAGUUUCCCGCAGAAAUCACUGGAUUGAAAGGUACUCAGGAAGUUCCUGUCUCAGCCGAAUUCCUAACUCCUGUCUCAUCCAUAACCGCAUCAAAGACAGUUGGUCAGCCAGAGAGAGAUGGAGAGGGAGAUCUGGAGCCUUCAGUAAAUCCUGCAGCCGCUUCUGGCAACAAAUGGCCACAAAACGAUCAAAGGUGAAAGUGACGGUGAACCAGACAGAGCAGUCAGUGGCUGAAUAAACCAGGAUGGCGUGGAUAUUACACACGCGGACGGAGUACAGGAAAUAAAACUGUUCCUGAUAAACAAUGGGAAUGUGUCUCAGGAUCAGAUCGAGGAUAAUGACCAGGAGAUCCGCCGCUGCCAUGGCCGCCAGAUUUUGUGGAAUCUGAGCGAUGUGGGCUCUGGGGAGAUUAAUGGCAGAGAUCAUCUCGCCACAUCAUUUAUGAUCUUCGCAAACUUUAAUUUCUCCAGAUCUCCCGUUAUGCGGUGGAGUAGAGAAGGACAAUGAUCUUCCAACAAUGCUCUGUAUUCCUCCAGAGAGCUGAGACUGCUCUAACCUGUGUGGGAACUUUACAGCAGGCUGGGAAAGUGCUGCUGCUGCACAGGGAGAUUACAUCUGGAGUAGAGUGUACAGAUCUAGCCUCUUCAAUGAAGAAACGGUGUUGUUAUAUUGGAAGCAGCUCAGAGAUGGUUCCCUCAACUGAUUCCUGCAAUGAAGGUGCUGGCGUAUAACGAAAGGAUGAUCAGGUUUAUCCAGUAGCCAUUGGAGUUUACAAAAAAUAAAGAAGAUCUUAUUUGAACAUAAAUGGCAGAAGGAGUCAAUGAGUGAAGUGAAUUACACAGAUAGUUGAGUAAUCCAUUCCGUUCUCCAGCCUGUUACACAGGAACAACAGGAUGAUAUUCAGGCCUUCGACCCUGUUACACCAAAACAGGACGAAGCUAUUCAGCCCCUGGAGCCUGAUAUACAUUUACAGAAGGAGGCCAAUCAGCCACUCGGGCCUAUAACAGUAGGCCAUGCUGCACCAGUAUCCAGUUAAACAGCAACAGGAGCAGUCCAUUCAGCCUCCUUCAGUCUGUAACAUAGGAACUGGAAGAGGCCACACAGUGACUAGAGAUUGUUACACUGGGAUAACAGGAGGCCAUUCAGACUCACCAAGCCUAUUGCAAGGGAAUUGGAUAAUGACAGAAACUAUCUGAGACUUCUUUCAUGAGAAAGGAAGAGGUAAUUUAGACAUGCGUCUGUUAUAUGGGAUCAGGAGAAGACCAAUCACUCCCUCGGUCCCAUCUCCGGGAUACAUGAGGAGACCAUUCAGUAUUUCCACCUGUUAUGAGAAGACCCAUCAGCCCCUCAAAAUGUUACACAGCAACGGGAAGAUUCCAUAAUCUCCCAAUCCUCUAAAGCAUCAACAAGAGGAGGUCAUUCUGGCCUUGGAGACGAUAACAUGGGAAUACCAGAAAGACAUCAGCUCAUCGAUUUUGAUGAUGAGUCCAUUCAGUGACACAUGGCUCUUACACAGCAAUUGGAGCAUAUCUCUUAAAGUCUUGUGCCCAUUAAACAGGAAUUCAAAGAAAAUGUAAAGGUUUUCGAAAGGGAAGAACUUAUAAUAAUGGUAUACAUUAGGGACUAAAGUGUAACAAUAAAUUAUGGUAAUUUAAGGCAAAUUCUUAGAGUC